rnacentral:rRNA from 1 species
GAUGAACGCUAGCGGCAGGCUUAAUACAUGCAAGUCGAGGGACAGCACAGGUAGCAAUACUGGGUGGUAACCGGCAAACGGGUGCGGAACACGUACACAACCUUCCUUUAAGUGGGGGAUAGCCCAGAGAAAUUUGGAUUAAUACCCCGUAAUAUAGUUGAAUGGCAUCAUUUGAUUAUUAUAGCUACGGCGCUUAAUGAUGGGUGUGCGGCUGAUUAGAUAGUUGGCGGGGUAACGGCCCACCAAGUCUACGAUCAGUAGCUGAUGUGAGAGAAUGAUCAGCCACACGGGCACUGAGACACGGGCCCGACUCCUACGGGAGGCAGCAGUAAGGAAUAUUGGUCAAUGGGCGCAAGUCUGAACCAGCCAUGCCGCGUGAAGGAUUAAGGUCCUCUGGAUUGUAAACUUCUUUUAUUUGGGACGAAAAAGGGCCUAUCUAGGUCAACUGACGGUACCAGAUGAAUAAGCACCGGCUAACUCCGUGCCAGCCGCCGCAGUAAGAC